rnacentral:rRNA from 1 species
AGAUUGAACGCUGGCGGCAGGCCUAACACAUGCAAGUCGAGCGGUAGCACAGAGAGCUUGCUCUCGGGUGACGAGCGGCGGACGGGUGAGUAAUGUCUGGGAAACUGCCUGAUGGAGGGGGAUAACUACUGGAAACGGUAGCUAAUACCGCAUAACGUCGCAAGACCAAAGUGGGGGACCUUCGGGCCUCAUGCCAUCAGAUGUGCCCAGAUGGGAUUAGCUAGUAGGUGGGGUAAUGGCUCACCUAGGCGACGAUCCCUAGCUGGUCUGAGAGGAUGACCAGCCACACUGGAACUGAGACACGGUCCAGACUCCUACGGGAGGCAGCAGUGGGGAAUAUUGCACAAUGGGCGCAAGCCUGAUGCAGCCAUGCCGCGUGUAUGAAGAAGGCCUUCGGGUUGUAAAGUACUUUCAGCGAGGAGGAAGGCAUUAAGGUUAAUAACCUUAGUGAUUGACGUUACUCGCAGAAGAAGCA